rnacentral:piRNA from 1 species
UGAGCACUGAUGAACACCUCCACUUGC